rnacentral:rRNA from 1 species
UACGGAGGGAGCUAGCGUUGUUCGGAAUUACUGGGCGUAAAGCGCGCGUAAGCGGCUUUGUAAGUUAGAGGUGAAAGCCCGGAGCUCAACUCCGGAACUGCCUUUAAAACUGCAUCGCUUGAAUCCAGGAGAGGUGAGUGGAAUUCCGAGUGUAGAGGUGAAAUUCGUAGAUAUUCGGAAGAACACCAGUGGCGAAGGCGGCUCACUGGACUGGUAUUGACGCUGAGGUGCGAAAGCGUGGGGAGCAAACAGG